GAUGAACGCUGGCGGCGUGCCUAACACAUGCAAGUCAAGGAGAAGGUAACCUUCGGGGAACCGGGAUACUGGCGCACGGGUGAGUAACACGUGGAUUAUCUACCCUUUUACACAGGACAUAACUCAGGGAAACUUGAGCUAAUAUCUGAUGAGGCCUCCGGGUCAAAGCUUCGGCGGUAAAGGAUGAGUCUGCGUCUGAUUAGCUAGUUGGUAAGGUAAUGGCUUACCAAGGGCGACGAUCAGUAACUGGUCUGAGAGGACGAUCAGUCACACUGGAACUGAGACACGGUCCAGACUCCUACGGGAGGCAGCAGUGAGGAAUUUUGGACAAUGGGGGAAACCCUGAUCCAGCGACGCCGCGUGUGGGAUGAAUGGGUUAUGCCCUGUAAACCACUGUCAGCAGAGAAGAAAAGGUCCUUUGGAACCCGGGACUGGUAUCUGCAGAGGAAGGACCGGCUAACUACGUG
rnacentral:rRNA from 1 species